rnacentral:rRNA from 1 species
UACGUAGGUGGCAAGCGUUGUCCGGAAUUAUUGGGCGUAAAGCGCGCGCAGGCGGUUCUUUUAAGUCUGAUGUGAAAGCCCACGGCUCAACCGUGGAGGGUCAUUGGAAACUGGGGAACUUGAGUACAGAAGAGGAAAGCGGAAUUCCACGUGUAGCGGUGAAAUGCGUAGAGAUGUGGAGGAGCACCAGUGGCGAAGGCGGCUUUCUGGUCUGUAACUGACGCUGGAGGCGCGAAAGCGUGGGGAGCAAACAGG